UGCAGUCGAACGAGUUCUGAUUAUUGAAAGGUGCUUGCAUCUUGAUUUAAUUUUGAACGAGUGGCGGACGGGUGAGUAACACGUGGGUAACCUGCCCUUAAGUGGGGGAUAACAUUUGGAAACAGAUGCUAAUACCGCAUAAAUCCAAGAACCGCAUGGUUCUUGGCUGAAAGAUGGCGUAAGCUAUCGCUUUUGGAUGGACCCGCGGCGUAUUAGCUAGUUGGUGAGGUAACGGCUCACCAAGGCAAUGAUACGUAGCCGAACUGAGAGGUUGAUCGGCCACAUUGGGACUGAGACACGGCCCAAACUCCUACGGGAGGCAGCAGUAGGGAAUCUUCCACAAUGGACGCAAGUCUGAUGGAGCAACGCCGCGUGAGUGAAGAAGGCUUUCGGGUCGUAAAACUCUGUUGUUGGAGAAGAAUGGUCGGCAGAGUAACUGUUGUCGGCGUGACGGUAUCCAACCAGAAAGCCACGGCUAACUACGUGCCAGCAGCCGCGGUAAUACGUAGGUGGCAAGCGUUAUCCGGAUUUAUUGGGCGUAAAGCGAGCGCAGGCGGUUUUUUAAGUCUGAUGUGAAAGCCCUCGGCUUAACCGAGGAAGUGCAUCGGAAACUGGGAAACUUGAGUGCAGAAGAGGACAGUGGAACUCCAUGUGUAGCGGUGAAAUGCGUAGAUAUAUGGAAGAACACCAGUGGCGAAGGCGGCUGUCUGGUCUGUAACUGACGCUGAGGCUCGAAAGCAUGGGUAGCGAACAGGAUUAGAUACCCUGGUAGUCCAUGCCGUAAACGAUGAAUGCUAGGUGUUGGAGGGUUUCCGCCCUUCAGUGCCGCAGCUAACGCAUUAAGCAUUCCGCCUGGGGAGUACGACCGCAAGGUUGAAACUCAAAGGAAUUGACGGGGGCCCGCACAAGCGGUGGAGCAUGUGGUUUAAUUCGAAGCAACGCGAAGAACCUUACCAGGUCUUGACAUCUUUUGAUCACCUGAGAGAUCAGGUUUCCCCUUCGGGGGCAAAAUGACAGGUGGUGCAUGGUUGUCGUCAGCUCGUGUCGUGAGAUGUUGGGUUAAGUCCCGCAACGAGCGCAACCCUUAUGACUAGUUGCCAGCAUUUAGUUGGGCACUCUAGUAAGACUGCCGGUGACAAACCGGAGGAAGGUGGGGAUGACGUCAAAUCAUCAUGCCCCUUAUGACCUGGGCUACACACGUGCUACAAUGGAUGGUACAACGAGUUGCGAGACCGCGAGGUCAAGCUAAUCUCUUAAAGCCAUUCUCAGUUCGGACUGUAGGCUGCAACUCGCCUACACGAAGUCGGAAUCGCUAGUAAUCGCGGAUCAGCACGCCGCGGUGAAUACGUUCCCGGGCCUUGUACACACCGCCCGUCACACCAUGAGAGUUUGUAACACCCGAAGCCGGUGGCGUAACCC
rnacentral:rRNA from 2 species